AAGGAGCACUUCUUGACUGUCGGCCCUCGGGCUUGGUGGUCCAGAGGCCAGUUCAUCAGCGAAUGUCUGAUGCUGGUUGCUCAUGGGUGGAACGUUGACUAUUCGGCACUGUCGGUCUGCUUGGACUGUGAGUACUGCUUCGGCGUGGAAAACAGUUCAGGGGGUUGAGGGUGUCGGGCACGCUGUUGGGUGUCUGAGGGAGCGGCCACGAUGUGGCUGUUUCUUCGGUUACCGGCCCCGGUAUAGGUCUGCUUCGGCGGGUUGUGACGGGUGGUUGGUCGUUG
rnacentral:misc_RNA from 1 species